CCCUUAGAUGUUCUGGGCUGCACGCGCGCUACACUGAUGCAUCCAGCGAGUUGUACCCUUGCUUGGUAAAGUUUGGUAAUCUGAGGCUAAUGUGCAUCGUGAUGGGAAUAGAGUUUUGCAACUAUUAGUCUUGAACGAGGAAUUCCUCGUAAGCACGAGUCAUCAGCUUGUGCUGAUUACGUCCCUGCCCUUUGUACACACCGCCCGUCGCUCCUACCGAUUGAAUGGUCCGGUGAAGCGUUCGGACCGUGGCCUUUGGACGGUUCGCCGUCUGUUGGCUGCGGGAAGUUCGUUAAACCUUAUCAUUUAGAGGAAGGAGAAGUCGUAACA
rnacentral:rRNA from 1 species